AUAUAUAUAUAUAUAUGAUACAAUUUUCUUUUAACAACAUUUUAAAUAUCUAAUAUAUUCAACAAUCAAGAACCCAUAAACAUAUAGAACAAACAUUUAUACCAUUAAAAACUAUAAAAAUAAAUAAAUAAAUAAAUAAUUUGUUGCACAAAUACAAGUUCCCUAGCUCUUUGAUUUCUUAUAUGUAUGUGAGAGCAAUUUUCAUCGUUGAUCAAAACCAUUAUGGUGCUUGUUAUGGCCAGCAAAAUUCAUUUCCUUAAUAGGACAAGGUGGACCACUACUCCCUGGGAUGUAUGUACAUCCAGAAGGCCCUGAUGGAGGCACAGGACCUUUAUCAAGAGCUUGCAACCUAAGUCGUUUCUUCUCCAUGUUGAAAACCCUACCACCAAGGUUUGGCUUCACAUGAAUUAUUGUAAGAAAUAGGAGUACCAAAACAAUGUUAUGAACCCUCAUUUUGUUGUUCAAAACUCAAAAGGGUAUGUAAAUACUUAUAGCAAUUAAUUAAUAAGCAUACAAAGUUGUUGGUAUUUAUAUAUACAUUGGGAGGUGGUGCUUGUAACUAAUUUUGUGACUUGUAUAUUUUAUUAGAGGAAAAGGAUAUGCAUGUAAAUUAGUUUUACAAUUAGAC
rnacentral:lncRNA from 1 species